rnacentral:snRNA from 1 species
GAAAAUUACAACAACGCUAUCGA